rnacentral:tRNA from 1 species
UGCGGGGUGGAGCAGCUUGGUAGCUCGUCGGGCUCAUAACCCGAAGGUCGUCGGUUCAAAUCCGGCUCCCGCAACCA